CGGAUGGCGAAGAGUCACAAGCGCGAGUCUCCUUUCCCCAUCGAUAGAAAGACUUGUGUCAACGAUAGGGGAAUGGCCGGUUUAUCGAUUACGAGUUUCAAAGUCCGUCUCGUGUAUGAACCUUUGUGUUUAGAGGCAAAAUGAAUUUUGCGAAAUCUUGGAGCGAAUUUAAAGAAAUACUUCGCAGACACGAAGUAGAAACUGUAACAAAAUAUGUUUACUACUAUGGAAAGUCAUUCGAUAGAGAGACACCAAUGGACUAGCAGAUAAGAUAGCUGAAUACUGGAUGUUUGAUCAAGGUACAAAUACUGUUGAAUGGAUUAGCUGCAUGGGAAUUUUCCUGUUCUCCUUAUAUAUAUAAGUGAAUACAAGACAGUUUCCCAUUAGACCUUCUCAAAGGCAUCCCUUUUGCUUGAACUAACUCCAGAUUUACGAU